rnacentral:pre_miRNA from 1 species
UGUUAAAAAUUUCAUUCAUUUGUAUUGUUGAAAAUUAAGGUGGUCGACAGAAUAACCAAAUAAUGACACAUAACAUGUUACAUAUAUCUCGUAUUAACGUAUAGAAACCAAUUUUUACUAGUAAAAAUAGAAGAAAUUUUUAAUA